UCUGUGGGAUGGAAAAGACAAAAAUGUAUUCCUCAACUGUCACUUCUCCAGUCUUUGCUGGUCACGUGGUGAAAUCCUAGUCAUCUUGAAAAUGUUAGUCCCUUACUUACCAUCUCAGGCUCCUUCCCCCUAGUUCUCUCCCUAUCCCAGACUUUGUGCAGACUUUAUUGCGGUCCUCCAAUUCAGCAUGGUGCUGGAGUUUGAGUCUAUUGUAUGAGGUUCUGGCUCACCGUGGCAGCUCUCAGAAGGGAGAGACUGAUAUUUGCUUAAAGUUCAUGCAUUUCACAACCUCUGCUUCCAAGUCAGUUUGAAUAGAAAAAUGAACACAUCCUUAAUUAGAACAGGAGCUUUUUAAAGGCAGAGACUUUAUCUUGCUUGCCACUGCAUAUAGAGUGCUCAGAAGUAUCUGUCACACAGUAAGUGCUCAAAAAAAUAAUUUUUAUCUGAUGGAAAAAAUAGAUGAUGGAAGCUUCUUCCAGUGAUGGAGCUAGGAAAUUGACUCUUAUCAAAGACAAAUUAAAAACUGGAUAAUAUACCAAACCAAGAAAACAUCUUAAAUUUAUCUAAGAAUUUACAACAUGGUAAGGAACUAUGGGGCCAAAAUCUAGAAGAAAGUGAGAAUCCAAAGAAGCCAGCCCAGAACUCAGUUAUUUUUGCCCUGAGUGUAAUUUCAAUCUUGAAGAAACAGGUGUACAUGUGAGCUUUAUUGUUUGUCAGCUUCACAAGAGGGUUUUUUAUUGCACUUGAACUGAAUUUGUAAGUAAGUUUCAUGACGACUAACAUCUGUAACAUUAGGUGUUCUAACUCAUGAACGUGGUAUAUUGCUCCAUUUAUUCAGGUCUUUGUCUCAGUACACUUUUGUAGUUUUCAGUGACCAAUUAUAUAUCUUCUUUGAAAGGGCUUGCAACAUUUUCCUUAAGUUCAUUCUUAUUUUAUGUUUUUGUGCUGUUGUAAAUGAUGCUAUUUAAAAUUUUUUAGAAUACUUUUCGUAUAUUCACCUUGUAUCCUGAGACAUUGCUUAACUCACUUAUUAGUUCCAGUAGGUUUGUUAGUUGUUUGAAUCUUUAGAAUUUUUUAAUGUAAAUAAUAAUAUCUUUAAAUCAGGAGUUUUAUUUCUUCCAUUAUGUCUGUUAUUUAUCUUAGUAAACUGGCUAGGAUCUCCAGUACAGUGCUGAAUACAAGAGGUGAGAGCAGAUACACUUGCCUUAUUUCUGAUCUUGGAAAAUAUUCAUUGUUUCACCAUUAAAAAUGAUACUGGCUGAAGAGGUUUUUUGUAAAUAUCUUCCAUCAGAUUGAGGAAGUUUCAUUCUAUUCCCAGUUUGUGCAGAGCUUUUAUCAUAAAUGGGUGUUGACUUUUGUCAAUACACUUUUUCUCCUGUAUUUUGUUGACAUGGUGAAUUAUGUUAAUUUUCAAAUGAUGUAUCCAUCGUGACUACUGGGCUAAACCGCACUUGCUCAUGAUCUAUCAUCCUUUUUAUAGAGUAAUGGAUUCAACUUGCUAUUAUUUUGUUAAGGAUUUUUAUGUCUGUAAAUCUAGUUCUUGAAAUGUCUUUGUUAGGUUUUAUAUGAGAGUAUUGCUGGCCUCAAAGAAUCAGCUAGGAAGUGUUCCUUCCUCUUCUUUGUUUCUGAGCUGGUAUAAGAUGAGCAUUUCUUAAAUAUUUGAUUAACCAGUGAAACUUUUUGGGCCUGGACUUUUCUUUGUGGCGAGAUUUUUGAUAUACGAAUUUGAUUCUGAUAGUGAGUUGUUAAAAAUUUCUAUUUCUUCUCUCAGUUCUCUUAAGUUGUGUAUUUCAAGGAAUUUGCCUGCUUCCUUUAAGUUGUCAAAUUUAAUGGCAUUAAAACACUCAUAAUUUUCUUUUUUAUGUCUAGGAUCUGGAGAAACAGUCCCUCUUUCAUUUAUCAUUCAUCAUGUUGACAAUCUCUCUCGUCUGCUAAGAGUUUAUCAAUUUUAUUAAUCUUUUCAAAGAACUAACAUUUUCUCUGUUUGUAGUUUUUGUAUUUUAUUGAUUCCUGCUAUCUUUAUUCUUUCUUUCCUUAUACUUUAGGAAAAAUUUACUCUUCUUUUUCUAGAUUCUUAAGGUAGAAACUUAAUAUUAAACCUUUCUUUCUUCCAACAUUUAAACUUACAAAUUUCCCUCUAAGUCCUGCUUUAGCUGUGCCCCACAAAUUUUGCUAUCGUAUAUGUAUUAUCCUUUAGUUAAAAAUAUUUUCUAAUUUCCCUUGUGAUUUAUCCCUUGAUCAAUGGGAUGUGUAGAAAUAUGUUAAUUUCCAGCAUUUAGAGGCUCAUCUAGAUAUUUUAUUGAUGUUUGUUCCUAAUUUAAUUUUAUUGUGGUCACAGAACAUAUUCUGAAGAUUUCAGUUUUUUGGAAGUUAUUUAUUGAGACUUGUUUUAUGGCUUGUCAUGUGGUCUAUUUUGGCAAAUAUGCCUUGUACAUUUGAAAAUAUUGUACAUUCUGCAGUUGUUGGAUGGAUUCAAUUUGGUAUUGAAUAUACUGUUUUAUGUCAGUUAGGUCAAGGUAGCUGAAAAGUGUUUAGAUUUCUGUAUCCUUUCUGAUUUUAUUUUUUGUGUGUUUAGUUGUUAUUUCAGUUUUUGUUUCAGGUGUUUUGAAACUCUGUUAUUAAGUGUACACACAAUUAUGAUUAUAAUGCCUUCCUGAUACGUUGACCUUUUCAUCACUAUGAAAUCUUUGUUUCCAGUAAUGUUCCAUGUUUUGAAGUAUAUUUUUUCAGAUAUUGUUUAUAAUGCUUAUUGUUAUGCAUGGCAUAUCAUUUUCCCAUCCUUUCACUUUUAAUCUAUUUGUGUUUUUGUAUCUUAAGUAUUUCUUUUGUAGACAGCACAUGGUUGGGUCUUGAUUUUUUCUAUCCAGUCUGAAAAUCUCUCCUUCUGAUUUCGGUAUUUGGUCCAUUUAUAUUUAAUGUAAUUAAUAAAAUGGUUAGAUAUAUGAUUA